UGAGUGGCCUUCUCCCUCCUUCCGACGUGAUUGCCAAGCUUCUAAUACCUGUCUCACAAACUGACUACAGAAGUUGGAAAUAAGGGCUGUGACUUGUUUUGUAAACAUAAAACACAAAAAUCUUAUUGUUUGUUUUUGGUUUGUAAUUAUUGUUGCUGAUUUGAGCAACAACCAAGUGAUACCACAAAAGAAGACCGUCUCUAACAUGAGGAUGCUGGAGGAGAUGAGUGCCCAG